rnacentral:rRNA from 1 species
AGUCGAACGAUGAUGCCCAGCUUGCUGGGCGGAUUAGUGGCGAACGGGUGAGUAACACGUGAGUAACCUGCCCCUGACUCUGGGAUAAGCGUUGGAAACGACGUCUAAUACUGGAUAUGAUCACCGGCCGCAUGGUCUGGUGGUGGAAAGAUUUUUUGGUUGGGGAUGGACUCGCGGCCUAUCAGCUUGUUGGUGAGGUAAUGGCUCACCAAGGCGACGACGGGUAGCCGGCCUGAGAGGGUGACCGGCCACACUGGGACUGAGACACGGCCCAGACUCCUACGGGAGGCAGCAGUGGGGAAUAUUGCACAAUGGGCGAAAGCCUGAUGCAGCAACGCCGCGUGAGGGAUGACGGCCUUCGGGUUGUAAACCUCUUUUAGUAGGGAAGAAGCGAAAGUGACGGUACCUGCAGAAAAAGCACCGGCUAACUACGUGCCAGCAGCCGCGGUAAUACGUAGGGUGCAAGCGUUGUCCGGAAUUAUUGGGCGUAAAGAGCUCGUAGGCGGUUUGUCGCGUCUGCUGUGAAAUCCCGAGGCUCAACCUCGGGCUUGCAGUGGGUACGGGCAGACUAGAGUGCGGUAGGGGAGAUUGGAAUUCCUGGUGUAGCGGUGGAAUGCGCAGAUAUCAGGAGGAACACCGAUGGCGAAGGCAGAUCUCUGGGCCGUAACUGACGCUGAGGAGCGAAAGCAUGGGGAGCGAACAGGAUUAGAUACCCUGGUAGUCCAUGCCGUAAACGUUGGGCGCUAGAUGUAGGGACCUUUCCACGGUUUCUGUGUCGUAGCUAACGCAUUAAGCGCCCCGCCUGGGGAGUACGGCCGCAAGGCUAAAACUCAAAGGAAUUGACGGGGGCCCGCACAAGCGGCGGAGCAUGCGGAUUAAUUCGAUGCAACGCGAAGAACCUUACCAAGGCUUGACAUACACCGGAAACGGCCAGAGAUGGUCGCCCCCUUGUGGUCGGUGUACAGGUGGUGCAUGGUUGUCGUCAGCUCGUGUCGUGAGAUGUUGGGUUAAGUCCCGCAACGAGCGCAACCCUCGUUCUAUGUUGCCAGCGGGUUAUGCCGGGGACUCAUAGGAGACUGCCGGGGUCAACUCGGAGGAAGGUGGGGAUGACGUCAAAUCAUCAUGCCCCUUAUGUCUUGGGCUUCACGCAUGCUACAAUGGCCGGUACAAAGGGCUGCGAUACCGUAAGGUGGAGCGAAUCCCAAAAAGCCGGUCUCAGUUCGGAUUGAGGUCUGCAACUCGACCUCAUGAAGUCGGAGUCGCUAGUAAUCGCAGAUCAGCAACGCUGCGGUGAAUACGUUCCCGGGCCUUGUACACACCGCCCGUCAAGUCAUGAAAGUCGGUAACACCCGAAGCCGGUGGCCUAAC